AUUGAACGUUGGCGGCAGGCCUAACACAUGCAAGUCGAACGAGUGGCGGACGGGUGAGUAAUGUCCGGGAAACCGCCUGAUGGAGGGGGAUAACUACUGGAAACGGGAUCUAACACCGCAUACUCUCCGAUGUGCCCAGAGGGGAUUAGCUUGUGGGUGGGGGAACGGCUCACCAAGGCGACGAUCCCUAGCUGGUCUGAGAGGAUGACCAGCAACACUGGAACUGAGACACGGUCCAGACUCCUACGGGAGGCAGCAGUGGGGAAUAUUGCACAAUGGGCGCAAGCCUGAUGCAGCCAUGCCGCGUGUAUGAAGAAGGCCUUCGGGUUGUAAAGUACUUUCAGCGGGGAGGCGUUACCCGCAGAAGAAGCACCGGCUAACUACGUGCCAGCAGCCGCGGUAAUUC
rnacentral:rRNA from 1 species